AAGUCGUAACAAGGUUUCCGUAGGUGAACCUGCGGAAGGAUCAUUAACAAAUUUUCCAACCUUAAAUGACAUUCUUUUUUUCAAAAGGAAUGUUAUACCCCACAUUUUGCGAACUUUGUUUUACUUUUCAAAUUGAAGAUGUACGGGGAUGAUGGUUUCUUUUGAAACCUCAUUUUCGUUUCUUCUUCAAUUUUUUCUUCUUUUUUUUUAAAACCCAAAUGAAACCCCUUUUUAGACUGAAACCUCUUUUUUGUUCUUAACGGAACGAAAAAAAAGAAAAAAGUUAAAUGAGAAAAACAACUCUUAACAACGGAUAUCUUGGCUCUC
rnacentral:misc_RNA from 1 species